CCUACGGGUGGCAGCAGUGGGGAAUAUUGCGCAAUGGGCGAACGCCUGACGCAGCGACGCCGCGUGAGGGAUGAAGGUCUUCGGAUUGUAAACCUCUGUCAGCAGGGAAGAACGGUCACUGUGCUAAUCAGCAGUGAAUUGACGGUACCUGCAAAGGAAGCACCGGCUAACUCCGUGCCAGCAGCCGCGGUCAUACGGAGGGUGAGAGCGUUAAUCGGAAUUACUGGGCGUAAAGCGCUCGUAGGCGGUAUGUCAAGUCAAGGGUGAAAUCCCCGCGCUCAACGUGGGAACUGCCUUUGAAACUGGCAAACUUGAGUGUGUGAGAGGAUAGUGGAAUUCCAGGUGUAGGAGUGAAAUCCGUAGAUAUCUGGAGGAACAUCAGUGGCGAAGGCGACUAUCUGGCACAUAACUGACGCUGAGGAGCGAAAGCGUGGGUAGCAAACAGGAUUAGAGACCCGAGUAGUC
rnacentral:rRNA from 1 species